CAGUAACGCGACAUUCCCCCAGCCCCAAACGAACAAACAGAAGGAGAAGAAAACCAGAGAGAGCUACUAGGAGCUUUGAGGAUCAUGGGACAGGGAAUUUUGUUCUAUCCUCGCGCAUCUUGAAGUGAUUUGUCCUCGAGCGCAUCUACAAACAGGCUCACGUCCGCGAGCUCACCAAGGCACGAGCCAGAAUGUGAACAAGUAAGCACGGCGCCGUGUUUCAGCUUCAGUCAUAAUUAAAUUAAUAAAAGUUUUACACGUUAGAGUGCGUUAACCGCGAAGGAGCAGAGAUGAAUUUCAAUGCAGAUGACUUAGGCUCCUUCACUCAUUUACUGUUUUUCAAGGUAGAAUAUUACAGCAGGUCUAUAAGAUAUUGUGUGAAGUGGAAAGGAUCCAUGUGUCCCCAACGCUCCAACAGACAGCCUAGGGCCUCCAAGAAGAACACCAAGACAAGCCCCGCUCCAGAGGAAGAAGUUAUCCAGCGUCAGCUGAGAGGUCGAAGGCGGAGGGGGAAAGGCAGUACUGGUGACAGCCUCUGUAUCGCAGGUGAGGGAACAGGGUGCGACAUCCUCGACAUCAUUACCACUCAGGAAGAGAAGCAUGUUGGUGAAGAAGAUGGGGGAAAGGCGGUAGAGAUAGCUCAUAAAGAACUGGACGACUUGGAUGAAGACCGAGUCUCUGUUUGCAGCAGCACAGCGUCUGGUCCCUCUUUUUAUCACUCCACCUACAGAAAAGCGAGGCCUUCCCAGAACCUGUGCUUGGCCUGUCAGAAGCUCUACCAGAAAGCAAAGAAGAUAAAAACAUCAAUCAUAAACAAACUGCUGGACAAUGAUCCUAUGUCCCCGACAUGUGACCAGUGGGUCCUUAUCAAAAAGCGGACAUCCCAAAGGUGGCCUGAUGCAAGAGGGAAGCUUUUGAGCCACAUAAAGAAGAUAAAGAAGGCCUGUGAAAAACAAAGUGAGCAGCGUGUGGAAGAAUCUGCCGCCUGUUCAAGGCCGCACACUUUCCUCCACAGGAACCUCAGACGAUGUGUGAAAGCGAAAAAGGAGAGGAAGAAGAAUAAGAACAGGAGGAAGAGACAGAGAGACGGUUCGCAGGGUACUCGUGUCGCUAAGCAGCAGCGUCUCCACACCAACACUCCCAUCAAGAUGACCUGUGUAGAGCCAAACAGCCGCCGAAAAAGCAGCAGUCAGGGGAACAGAGGUGUGAUUGCUGAGGCGAUUCCCUCGUCUGUGACACAGGAAGCCACCACACCAAGCAAGAGAACACCAAAGCAGACGGGUAGAUUCAGAAACUUGCUGGCUGAGCUACGGAGCAAGAGCAGCAUGAUUGUAAGAGAAACACACUAGUGAGGAGGCAGGAUUCGAGUGCUAAUCGCUUUUAGUCGUGAUGUUCUGCUGGUCUUCAGUAUUGUUACCUAUUCGGUGGCCUAUGCCUAGAGUUACUUGACAAAGUGCCGUCGCAGUUCUGUGCAUGUUUUGUUUGUGAUCCUUUAAAAUUAAUAAUAAUAAUAUUUAUUUAAUGUUCCUUACAACUGGACAGCUGUGAAUAAAUGUUUAUGUUGAUCUCAUGGCAUGCCUUUUUUUUUUUAAAAAUACCGACAUAAGUUCACUCACUCGCAUUCAAAAACACUCGUGCAUUUACAGCUCUUCACAAAAUCAAGUACCUUUCACCUGUAUGCAAACACUUGCUUAUUUUCAUUUGCGUUUGCAGCAAGAUGGUCACUGUUCAUAGUGUCCACAGCAUGUACACCACUUCCUGCUAGCGCUCCAGCUUCUUCAGUGAGCUGCAUUUCAGGGAUGUUAAAGUUGCACAGCAUCAGAGCUUUGACUCGUUAUAUAAUGUGAAGAUAUCAGUCCUCACUCCCAAGUGUGGUGUCCACAACUAGGUGAUAAUGGGAGGAGAGAGGGAUUUCACAGCUUCAGUGUCUGAGUGGGCUGUUGUUGGACAUUAUUUUUUCACAAAUGCAUCCAAAGACAAAAAAAGGUGGCAAAAUAUUUGAAACUAUAUCUUUCCUAAUCCUACAAAACAAAACAGUCAAAAAAGAAAAUCAGUGAGCUAUAAAUAUUAUUUUAUAUGCCAUGGUGUAUACUAGUUAUUCCUAAAUGCUGUCAUGUUGACUCACUGUGUUUGUACUUUGUACAAACUACAAACUUACAUUAAAGGAAACCCAUCUGCACCAUUGCAAAAAUUGAGAGGUUGAUGCAUCAGAGCUUAUAAGAGGGAGAUACACAAUUAAUUGCCAAUGCAGGCAACCCACUGUCUAAACAGGAUAUCACCAGGCCUACCUGUCUUUUGGCUUUGGGAAUGUGAAUGGCCUCCGUCCAUCAUCAGUCACUUGAAGUUGUCUUAUGGUAAAAUGUUGCCAGGCAGGCUCAAGAUGCACUUUCAAACCAAACAGCCUUUCUGAGAGAAACCCUAACCCUCAAAAGAGUGCUGGAUCUGAAACAGAGGCACUUCCGUUUGAAGGUGUGUAAUAAGGCGGUGGAGAUGAGGUGUAUGAUAGUGGUGUACACAGGUAUGAUGGAAAGUUAGGUGUGCGUUUGAUUUAUUUGGGAAUGUGUGACAAACUCGGACAGACUGAAGUCCCAAUUACUUUAGGGAAGAAAGGUAAAUCCAUCCAUUCUUUUUCUCAACGCAGUGGAGAUGGAGCCCACGUAGCAGGCUGUUUGCAGACGCUUAUUCUAACAGCCCACAUGGUGGCGCCACAUAACCAGCACUCACAGACUGACUCUACAGCUCUGUGUGUAGUAAAACAAAAUAAACACAAAUGUACAAAAAGCACAUAGAUACAGGGUUAGAGCUCAUGGGGAGCAUGGGUAAUGUGGUAUGUGACAUAAAUACAAGCGGUUUGCACUGGACUCGCUUGGGCCAGUCUCACUCUGCACAGCAGGACAGGUACAGGUGUAAUCAAUAACAUUAAUGAUCAUGAAGCAUCCCAGAGAGCCGGCAUGCACAAUAAGCAGGGUCGGUCCUGCAGCUCAGAGUAAAGCAACUUUAACCUGAUACCAUCAUUUUCACCUGUGUGAAUCAUCAGCUGUUCAAGUGUUUACACUGCAGGAUCACAGUCGCAGUUACUGCAGGACCUGAUUAUCACAAACCAGAGGUCUCAGGGCUAAAACAAUUCACAGUGCGCGCACACACUGCGGUAUCCUGUGAUAGAUAUCAGCACCUGACACCUC